UACAGAGGGGGCAAGCGUUGUUCGGAAUUACUGGGCGUAAAGGGCGCGUAGGCGGCCUGUUAAGUCGAACGUGAAAUCCCCGGGCUCAACCCGGGAACUGCGUCCGAUACUGGCAGGCUUGAAUCCGGGAGAGGGAUGCGGAAUUCCAGGUGUAGCGGUGAAAUGCGUAGAUAUCUGGAGGAACACCGGUGGCGAAGGCGGCAUCCUGGACCGGCAUUGACGCUGAGGCGCGAAAGCCAGGGGAAGCAAAGCGGGG
rnacentral:rRNA from 1 species